GACGAACGCUGGCGGCGUGCUUAACACAUGCAAGUCGAACGGACGGGCCCUGCUUUUGUGGGGUGCUCGAGUGGCGAACGGGUGAGUAACACGUGAGUAACCUGCCCUUGACUUUGGGAUAACUUCAGGAAACUGGGGCUAAUACCGGAUAGGAGCUCCUGCUGCAUGGUGGGGGUUGGAAAGUUUCGGCGGUUGGGGAUGGACUCGCGGCUUAUCAGCUUGUUGGUGGGGUAGUGGCUUACCAAGGCUUUGACGGGUAGCCGGCCUGAGAGGGUGACCGGCCACAUUGGGACUGAGAUACGGCCCAGACUCGUACGGGAGGCAGCAGUGGGGAAUAUUGCACAAUGGGCGGAAGCCUGAUGCAGCAACGCCGCGUGCGGGAUGACGGCUUUCGGGUUGUAAACCGCUUUCGCCUGUGACGAAGCGUGAGUGACGGUAAUGGGUAAAGAAGCACCGGCUAACUACGUG
rnacentral:rRNA from 1 species